CCUACGGGUGGCAGCAGUGAGGAAUAUUGGUCAAUGGGCGCGAGCCUGAACCAGCCAAGUAGCGUGAAGGAUGACGGCCCUACGGGUUGUAAACUUCUUUUAUAAGGGAAUAAAGUGAGGCACGUGUGCCUUUUUGUAUGUACUUUAUGAAUAAGGAUCGGCUAACUCCGUGCCAGCAGCCGCGGUAAUACGGAGGAUCCGAGCGUUAUCCGGAUUUAUUGGGUUUAAAGGGUGCGUAGAUGGUAUGUUAAGUUAGUGGUGAAAGUUUGCGGCUCAACCGUAAAACUGCAAUUGAUACUGGCAGCCUUGAGAACAGUUGAGGUAGGCGGAAUGAGUGGUGUAGCGGUGAAAUGCUUAAAUAUCACGAAGAACUCCGAUUGCGAAGGCAGCCUACUAAUCCGCCACUGACGUUGAUGCUCGAAAGCGUGGGUAUCAAACAGGAUUAGAUACCCUGGUAGUC
rnacentral:rRNA from 1 species